rnacentral:lncRNA from 1 species
AAUAAACAGUAUUUGGUAAGACACUUCUAAGUUGAGACUCUACUAUUUUUAAAAUUAUAUCUGUUGUUCACCACUUCCCACUGACUUAAGCAUCAAAGAGUCUCCAUCGAACACAACUCCAGUCAGUGCAGAUUUUUUUUACAAGAGCCCUUCUCCGACGACAGGCGCAAUAGGAAAUUAGCUGCAACAGAUUGACAUGCCAGAUAGGGAGAAGAUACGAGUAACUAUGGCUAAGACUAGAGC